rnacentral:rRNA from 1 species
GCAAGGUAGCUUGGCUCCUAACCUAGCGGCGGACGGGUGAGUAAUGCUUAGGAAUCUGCCUAUUAGUGGGGGACAACAUUCCGAAAGGAAUGCUAAUACCGCAUNNNNNNNANNGGAGAAAGCAGGGGACCUUCGGGCCUUGCGCUAAUAGAUGAGCCUAAGUCGGAUUAGCUAGUUGGUGGGGUAAAGGCCUACCAAGGCGACGAUCUGUAGCGGGUCUGAGAGGAUGAUCCGCCACACUGGGACUGAGACACGGCCCAGACUCCUACGGGAGGCAGCAGUGGGGAAUAUUGGACAAUGGGGGGAACCCUGAUCCAGCCAUGCCGCGUGUGUGAAGAAGGCCUUUUGGUUGUAAAGCACUUUAAGCGAGGAGGAGGCUACUAGUAUUAAUACUACUGGAUAGUGGACGUUACUCGCAGAAUAAGCACCGGCUAACUCUGUGCCAGCAGCCGCGGUAAUACAGAGGGUGCGAGCGUUAAUCGGAUUUACUGGGCGUAAAGCGUGCGUAGGCGGCUGAUUAAGUCGGAUGUGAAAUCCCUGAGCUUAACUUAGGAAUUGCAUUCGAUACUGGUCAGCUAGAGUAUGGGAGAGGAUGGUAGAAUUCCAGGUGUAGCGGUGAAAUGCGUAGAGAUCUGGAGGAAUACCGAUGGCGAAGGCAGCCAUCUGGCCUAAUACUGACGCUGAGGUACGAAAGCAUGGGGAGCAAACAGGAUUAGAUACCCUGGUAGUCCAUGCCGUANACGAUGUCUACUAGCCGUUGGGGCCUUUGAGGCUUUANNNGCGCAGCUAACGCGAUAAGUAGACCGCCUGGGGAGUACGGUCG